rnacentral:rRNA from 1 species
AGACCCGAAACCCGGUGAUCUAGCCAUGGGCAGGUUGAAGGUUGGGUAACACUAACUGGAGGACCGAACCGACUAAUGUUGAAAAAUUAGCGGAUGACCUGUGGCUGGGGGUGAAAGGCCAAUCAAACCGGGAGAUAGCUGGUUCUCCCCGAAAGCUAUUUAGGUAGCGCCUCGUGAAUUCAUCUCCGGGGGUAGAGCACUGUUUCGGCUAGGGGGCCAUCCCGGCUUACCAACCCGAUGCAAACUGCGAAUACCGGAGAAUGUUAUCACGGGAGACACACGGCGGGUGCUAACGUCCGUCGUGAAGAGGGAAACAACCCAGACCGCCAGCUAAGGUCCCAAAGUCAUGGUUAAGUGGGAAACGAUGUGGGAAGGCCCAGACAGCCAGGAUGUUGGCUUAGAAGCAGCCAUCAUUUAAAGAAAGCGUAAUAGCUCACUGGUCGAGUCGGCCUGCGCGGAAGAUGUAACGGGGCUAAACCAUGCACCGAAGCUGCGGCAGCGACACUGUGUGUUGUUGGGUAGGGGAGCGUUCUGUAAGCCUGUGAAGGUGUGUCGUGAGGCAUGCUGGAGGUAUCAGAAGUGCGAAUGCUGACAUAAGUAACGAUAAAGCGGGUGAAAAGCCCGCUCGCCGGAAGACCAAGGGUUCCUGUCCAACGUUAAUCGGGGCAGGGUGAGUCGACCCCUAAGGCGAGGCCGAAAGGCGUAGUCGAUGGGAAACGGGUUAAUAUUCCCGUACUUGGUGUUACUGCGAAGGGGGGACGGAGAAGGCUAUGUUGGCCGGGCGACGGUUGUCCCGGUUUAAGCGUGUAGGUGUGUGUUCCAGGUAAAUCCGGUUCACUUUAACACUGAGGCGUGACGACGAGGCACUACGGUGCUGAAGCAACAAAUGCCCUGCUUCCAGGAAAAGCCUCUAAGCAUCAGGUAACAUCAAAUCGUACCCCAAACCGACACAGGUGGUCAGGUAGAGAAUACCAAGGCGCUUGAGAGAACUCGGGUGAAGGAACUAGGCAAAAUGGUGCCGUAACUUCGGGAGAAGGCACGCUGACACGUAGGUGAAGUGAUUUACUCAUGGAGCUGAAGUCAGUCGAAGAUACCAGCUGGCUGCAACUGUUUAUUAAAAACACAGCACUGUGCAAACACGAAAGUGGACGUAUACGGUGUGACGCCUGCCCGGUGCCGGAAGGUUAAUUGAUGGGGUCAGCGCAAGCGAAGCUCCUGAUCGAAGCCCCGGUAAACGGCGGCCGUAACUAUAACGGUCCUAAGGUAGCGAAAUUCCUUGUCGGGUAAGUUCCGACCUGCACGAAUGGCGUAAUGAUGGCCAGGCUGUCUCCACCCGAGACUCAGUGAAAUUGAACUCGCUGUGAAGAUGCAGUGUACCCGCGGCAAGACGGAAAGACCCCGUGAACCUUUACUAUAGCUUGACACUGAACAUUGAGCCUUGAUGUGUAGGAUAGGUGGGAGGCUUUGAAGUGUGGACGCCAGUCUGCAUGGAGCCGACCUUGAAAUACCACCCUUUAAUGUUUGAUGUUCUAACGUGGACCCGUUACCCGGGUUGCGGACAGUGUCUGGUGGGUAGUUUGACUGGGGCGGUCUCCUCCUAAAGAGUAACGGAGGAGCACGAAGGUUGGCUAAUCCUGGUCGGACAUCAGGAGGUUAGUGCAAUGGCAUAAGCCAGCUUGACUGCGAGCGUGAC